CUCUGCAGCCCCUGGCUCGAUCCCCGGCUUCUCCCGGCCAACGGAGGAGGGUCUCACAUGGCACGCAGACCUCACCUGCCGCCCACUGCUCCCCUCAGCAGUGUGCUUUGGUCCUUCUGCCUGCUCUGCUCCCUGCUCUGGCUUUGGUUCUGCUCCUCUGGUUGGACACUGAUGGACACAGAUAGUAAUUCAAAUAUCUGGAGAAGUGGAAUUGUAAAUAUCACAGGCGGAAAAUCAAAAAUGUUAAUCAUUCAUAGAUGGAAAAACUGAGAGAAAAGACAUCUCCAUCAUAAAUGAUUUCCCUAACAAUGAGGUCCCAAGACACCAAGCAGUGACUGAUCUACCUGCAGGAGAAAAAUACAAAUCCAUAAGCUGUGCCAACUGAAGCUGGAAACUUGACUACACUGAGGGGCACACUGCCCUGGGGCGCAAAGCUCCCUAUUUACUGUUGGGGAGCCUGUUCCUCCUAUUGACAAAUGUUCUUCCAGGGAAUCUGCCCCACCAGCAGUGGUACAAGGUCAGCAGAUCCCAAGUGGGAUAUUGGAGCUGGAUCACCUGCCUGUUUGCUGAUUUGUGAUUGUCAAAGGCAAAGAAAGAAGAAACAGGCAAUGUUGAAAGGAAUGGACAAAAAGCCUGCUCCUUCCCUCCCGUCGGAUGUUAGUCCAGAGUGAACGGAAACCGGCGCUCCCAGGGACCUGCUUUUAUUAAACUGUCAUUUUCCCUAUAUCGUUAAAGUAGUUGAAAACAUUAAAG